AUGGGGCAGCCACGGGCUCUGCUCUGGCCAGCUGGAAUCGCUAGGCCACAGCCCCAGCGAGAACUGGCGACAGUUUUUGUUUGGUUUAGUCGGAAGCAGCCAAGGUGGUCCCCGGCUGACGUGAGGACAAGGCGGCGUCUGUCACACAGCAUCCGGGAAGGGGGGCUCUCGGUGGCCAAGGUGGAGGUGAUGCACAAGGAGAGGGAGAGGGAGAGCGGCCUGGGGGCCGGCCCGGGGCACCCUCCAGCCUGGUCCCCGGAAGAUGCCUGUGCAGCUGGCGUCGAUUCCGCGUCACACAGGAGGGGACCGAGGCUAAGAGAGGUGACCGGCCCAAGGUUCCAUGGCCAGCGAGUUGUCAGCAGGACUGUGGUCUUCUUCAGAACCCGGAUGCCUUCAUGCCCAGCUCCUGGGGACCUGAGGCACAGGGCCCGGCUCCAGGAGCCGCAGCGGGGUGGCCAGCCCGGGAGGCUGGAGUGGGGAUGGGGGGUGGGGGGUGGGGCGUGGCUCGAGAGUGGCCGCCGAUGGCCGGAGAGGCAAGGCCGGGCCGUUCUUCAGCGAGCUCCGCGCUCGGCCCGGGCUGCGCGCCCUGAGCAGGGUGUGGGCUGCUGGUCAGUGGCCCCGGGCCAUCCCUGCCUGCCAGCCUUGGUGUUUGCCGCUUGGCUGGGUACAGGCGAUGACUCACACUCCCCAGUCCCGCCUGGGCUCCCCACCCUCUGCCUGGGGCGCAGGCGGCUGCUGCCCGGUGCCCAGAGAGCAGCAGGGCUGCGUGGCCUGAGGGCUCAGGGCCUGGGAGGGGGGAUGGGGGCGGCUGAUGGUGCCUCCAGCAGCCACGUGACCCGGAAGCCCCCUUCUCUGACUGGCAGAGCAGCUCCCCCAGCCACCCGGCUGCUCCUCAGGCCCCACCUCCCAGGUCCCCGGCGCUGGCCUGCUCCCUCCUCCCCGGAAUCAAGCCUGCCUCUCAUCUGUGCCCCUACUCGGUUCCUCCCUGGGACACCCCCAGCCCCAGCCCGAUCUGCUAGAUCCGGUUUCUGUUGCUUGCAGUAA
rnacentral:lncRNA from 1 species